UAGGGAAUUUUCAUCAAUGGGCGCAAGCCUGAACGAGCAAUGCCGCGUGAACGAGGAAGGUCUUCGGAUCGUAAAGUUCUGUUGAAGGGGAAAAAGAGCGGAGAGAGGAAAUGGUCUCCGAUUGAUAUUACCCUUCGAGGAAGUCACGGCUAACUACGUGCC
rnacentral:rRNA from 1 species